rnacentral:rRNA from 1 species
GUCUAUGGCCAUGCCACCCUGAACGUGCCCAAUGUCUGAUCUCGGAAGCUAAGCAGGGUCCAGCCUGGUUAGUACUUGGAUGGGAGACCACCUAGGAAUAUCAGGUGCUGCAGGCA